rnacentral:rRNA from 1 species
GGAGUGGGGGAUAACGUAGCGAAAGUUACGCUAAUACCGCAUACGAUCUAAGGAUGAAAUGGGGGCUUCGCAAGAACCUCAUGCUCCUGGAGCGGCCGAUAUCUGAUUAGCUAGUUGGUAGGGUAAAAGCCUACCAAGGCAUCGAUCAGUAGCUGGUCUGAGAGGACGACCAGCCACACUGGAACUGAGACACGGUCCAG